GUAGGUGGCAAGCGUUGUCCGGAAUUAUUGGGCGUAAAGCGCGCGCAGGCGGUCCUUUAAGUCUGAUGUGAAAGCCCACGGCUCAACCGUGGAGGGUCAUUGGAAACUGGGGGACUUGAGUACAGAAGAGGAAAGCGGAAUUCCGAGUGUAGCGGUGAAAUGCGUAGAGAUUAGGAGGAACACCAGUGGCGAAGGCGGCUUUCUGGUCUGUAACUGACGCUGAGGCGCGAAAGCGUGGGGAGCAAACAGGGAUUAGAUACCCUGGUAGUCCACGCCGUAAACGAUGAGUGCUAAGUGUUAGGGGGUUUCCGCCCCCUUAGUGCUGCAGCUAACGCAUUAAGCACUCCGCCUGGGGAGUACGGCCGCAAGGCUG
rnacentral:rRNA from 1 species